rnacentral:rRNA from 1 species
GGAGGAAUAUUGGACAAUGGGCGCAAGCCUGAUCCAGCCAUGCCGCGUGCAGGAUGAAGCAUCUAUGGUGUGUAAACUGCUUUUAUACGGGAAGAAGCCCCGCCACGUGUGGCGGACUGACGGUACCGUAAGAAUAAGGACCGGCUAACUCCGUGCCAGCAGCCGCGGUAAUACGGAGGGUCCAAGCGUUAUCCGGAAUCAUUGGGUUUAAAGGGUCCGUAGGCGGGUCUGUAAGUCAGUGGUGAAAUCU